rnacentral:rRNA from 1 species
AUCGCCUCUUGAAUACUUAUAAGAGGUCCAGCCUGCCCAGUGACUCUGUUCAACGGCCGCGGUAUCCUAACCGUGCGAAGGUAGCGUAAUCACUUGUCUUUUAAAUGAGGACUUGUAUGAAUGGCACCACGAGGGUUAUACUGUCUCCUUUUUCUAAUCAGUGAAACUAAUCUCCCCGUGAAGAAGCGGGAAUAAACAUAUAAGACGAGAAGACCCUAUGGAGCUUUAAACUUAAUAACAAAUGCUAAUCUUUUAUUAACUUCCAGAACACCAAUCUUAAUUUUAGUAUUGUGAUUAUUAGUUUUAGGUUGGGGUGACCGCGGAGUAAAAACUAACCUCCACAUUGAAAAGGACCUAUCCUUGAGCCAAGAGCUACAACCCUAAGCACCAACAAAUCGACAUUAAUUGACCCAAUAUUUUGAUCAACGAACCAAGUU